GGACCCGCACAAGUAGUGGAGCAUGUGGUUUAAUUCGAAGAUACGCGCAGAACCUUACCAACACUUGACAUGUUCGUCGCGACUUUAAGAGAUUAAAGUUUUCGGUUCGGCCGGACGAAACACAGGUGCUGCAUGGCUGUCGUCAGCUCGUGUCGUGAGAUGUUGGGUUAAGUCCCGCAACGAGCGCAACCCUCACUUUUAGUUGCCAUCAUUAAGUUGGGCACUCUGAAAGAACUGCCAGUGAUAAGCUGGAGGAAGGUGGGGAUGACGUCAAGUCCUCAUGGCCCUUACGUGUUGGGCUACACACGUGCUACAAUGGUAUCUACAACAGGAAGCAAGACUGCGAAGUUAAGCAAAUCCCUAAAAGAUACCUCAGUUCGGAUUGCACUCUGCAACUCGAGUGCAUGAAGCUGGAAUU
rnacentral:rRNA from 1 species